GCUUGUGAUAAAAACAUCUCAACAACGAUCUCAUCUGACCUCAGAAGCUAAGCAGAAUCGGGCCUGGUUAGUACUUGGAUGGGAGAUGGCCUGGGAAUACUAGGUGCUGUAGGCU
ensembl:rRNA 5S_rRNA 5S ribosomal RNA